GCUGUCCUGCAGCCCUGCGCAGCCGGGGGUCGGCCCUCAGACCUGGCCCACUCCUGGCGGGUAGACGCCCUCUGCUCCUAACUCCCGGGCGCUGACUUCGGAGCAAAGACCUCUCAGGGUCGGGGCUGUGCAGAGAAGGCAGAGGAUGACAGUGAAUGUUCCCACCCACCCUUGCCAGCACGUAUGAUGUCAGAUCUUCUGCAUUUUGCAUAUGAUAGGUAAAAAAUGGUAUCUGAGUGUGGUUUCAGUUUGCAUUUUUCUAGUGGUGAAUGAGGCUGGGGCCAAUUUCAGGAGUUUUAGAGCCUUUUACCUUUCCAUCUUUCCAUUAGGUUGUUAGUUUCCUCUUGUAAAUUUUUCCUAUUUAUAAGAAAAGUAGAACCUUAUUAUAUGACUUGCAAAUAUUUUUCCCAGCUUGUUUUGGCCUUUUGACUUUGUUUUUCAUUUUUCCUAUACACAAGAGAGAAGCACGAGCUGCCGCAGAAAAGCCAUGGGCUUUCUCCAGCCGUCCCAGGAAGGUACCAAGAGAGCCAGGUGUGGCCUCAGGGUGAGUGGGGGGAGGAGGGGGCAGGCCUGCGGGGGAGAGCCUGUCAACUCCCAUUCAUGUCUCCUUUCCUUUCUUCUUUUUUCAGACCCCAGCUGGUUUGCUGGUGCAAAGCCCUCAGCAGCCACGAGGCCUCCUUUCAGCUGUCGCCAGCUCCCAAAACAUGCCUCCAGCUUGUGCUUAUGCUGGUUGCUGUGGAGACGGAAUCAUGACCUCUUGGCAUGCACAGGGAUGCUGUGAGAUUCUGGAAAUUACAGAAAGGGCUUAUACAUCUCACACAUGACACACCAGACACCAUUAUGAGGAAUUUGAGGCUUGCUGCAGUGAGCAGACUUUCCCAUGAUCAUACAGCUCAUCACCAGCAGAGUCAGCACGCAAGCCCAGGACCCCGCACAGCAGGGACUACCGUGAAGAGCAGAGGAAAUAUGAGGAGCUAAAUCAGAGAAGAUGGCUGAGAAGUGCAUUAUGGAACAUUAAACAAUAGCUGAUCAGCAUCAGACACAGUAAAUGGCCCCUAAUCUACUGCCAAGAACAUGCCUGGUUCCUACGUGGCGCCCUGGCUGGCUUCCAGGCAGGGGAAUACAGGGCUGGACAUCAAGGCUUUUAGGCCACAAAACCCCUGCUCUGGGUCAUAUCCCAGCAACUAACAGAAGAUUCCAGCACCCAGACAACAUGCAUUUCCUUCCACAUGAUUUCGCUCUAUAGGACUGGAUUUGGGUCUUCACAUCACCUGGUCUCUGACACUGGGACCCAAACAUCAUCUGGAGCAUCUCUGCCUGCCUGGAAAAUCCUGUACUGGAAGGGGGAAGCCACCUGUGACUGUGGGUUAGGGUAGUCCGGCUCAGGAUGCCUGAAGAGGAUGUGAAGGGGUAUUCCCCUAGCUCCAGUAAGGCCUCACAAUAAUUCCCCACAAUACCCUGGUUAAAGCUCAUUUCACUAGAACAUCCAUUCGUUUAGAGCCCCAUUAAAAGGCAAAUGUCCUCAAAGGAUAGAUGAACUAGUAUCCUGGUGGGUCUUGCACACUUUAGUAUAAAGUAAACUUCAACCUUUUGCUAAGAGCUUUGGGCACUGAUAUCCUGAGAAGAUAGGAAGGAAUGGAGAGGAAAGAAUCCAGAGAGGAGUUUCCAGAAGAUAGGAAGGCAGCCUGCAGGACUUUAAAAGCUAAAAUCACUAUUUCUCCAUGAUCAGAAGCAGAUUUGGUUUACACUGAUGAAAGCCCUGGACUUUUACCAAUGGGCAGGAUUCAAAUCUCCAGCUCUCCUGUAUACCAGCUCUGUGAUCUUAGGUAAGUCACUUAACUUCUCUGAGCCUCCAUUUCCUCAGCUGUUGAUGCCACACCCAUCCCAGUGGUACUGUGAGAGUUACACAAUUUCAAAUGUGUGGCAGGUGUGUCCUGCCACACAUAUUGUCCUUGGGUCUGUACCACUACAUUCUAGAAAUUGCAUGACCACUAUGCUCCAUCUGUGAAUGGAUAUUGGGGCUGAAUCAACCCACAGACCCAUAGUGAUCCUGGAAGGUCCAACCAAAAUCCCAGCUAGAUCAGCUGACCCAAACACAUGAACUUCCAGAACAAAUUAUUGCUUUUUAAGCCACUGAGGUUUCAGGUGGUUUGCUAUCCCGCAAUGGUUAAAACAGUACACCAAAGUCAGAGCUCCCGACAUUUUUAAUUUUAGGGCUAUGUGCAACAGAAAUCAUUCUAAAAUGUAUCUGACACUUCUCUGUCUUCUUAACCAAGACAAAGUGAACACAAUUCAGUCUUCACUAGGUUGUUCAUGCUCAAAAUGGUGAGACCAUUUAAGGUGCUAGAAGUCAGUGGUGCCCUCAGGGGUUCCAUGCAGAACAGAGGCACUAGAAAUACUAUUUUGGUAUUUCUGCAUGUACUAAAUACAGUCUACUAUGCUUCUUGUGCUCAGAACUAUUCCCUAGUAAUUUGUCAUUUUUCUUGUCAUCAAUUUUGUCAGCUGUCUUUUGUCGUGGUGGUUAUUGUGUCUAUUUUAAGCAGCAACUCACCUUCCCUAAUCAACUGUGUAACACCCAAUUCACCAGCCUUCAGGAAACCUGCUUUCUAAGUGUGUCUGUCAGCGUGGUCUCGGAGGUGGGAGCCCACAGGCCUGUGCUUCGGGGCUGGAGUCCUGUCAUCCGUCUGGGCCUCUGAUGCCGUUUGCUCCCUUUUCCUCUGGGACCCAGCAGUGGAGGUCACCAGGUAAUGAGCCUCUGAUUUAGAUAGCUGGCGCCAUGUCUGGAGUGUUAGGAGUCAAGCCCUUCCUGGAGGGAGAAGGGCUGGCUCAGCCACGGAGGGAAACGUUGGCCCCUGGCACAUCAGAGCCCCUGUCCAUCACGCCUUCUUGGCUUAGCCUGCGAUUCACCAGGGGGCGACCAGGGCUUGCCCCAGAGCAGAGGCUGCAUCCUACUUGUCUCUGUGUCCCCUGUAGCACUUAGCACACUGCCAGGCAUGAAGGAGGCCUUACUAAGGUGGUGGGUGGGACCGGAGACCUCCCCAGUGCUCCCCCUUUAUGUGUGCACCAUGCUCGUCUCCUGCCGAAGAGGAAGAAUCUACAGGCUUUUGAACAUAGACUAUUUCACAUCAAACUGCUGGAAAAUAUUUUCAAAAGAGUUGUCCCAUGUCAAGGAACAGUCCCCAUAUCAGGGCAUAAGCUGGUUUCUGAACUGUGCUUUUGGGGAGUGACUAAAUGAGGGGAAUGAAGUCCAGACACUCUGCAGGAGAAAGCAGCUAUUUUUCACCUUGUGAAGCUGUUAGCUCAGUGAUUGCCCGUAGGUCUGCAUCAUCCUCGUACAAAUACACAAAGUCCACAUUAACAACCAGAAGAUCUGAACUUAGCAAAUCAUCAGGAAGGGCCAGUUGUUCCCUACUGAGCCUGCCCCCUGCACUGUGCCCUGGGAUCCCCUGCCCUCUGGCUUUGGGCUGGGUUCAGCCAAGGGAAAGCCCUGCCAAGAGGUGGCUGGGUUGGAAGAGAGAGAGGCUGGGGUAUUUCUUCUCCAAUUUCUCCCUACUUUGGUGCUUCUGUGGUCAAAGCUGCUUGGAGACCCCUCCAAGGUUCCCAGUCCACUGGGACCCACUUCCCCAUUUCUUCCUCUUGGCUUUUCAAGCACAUGAGUGGUAAAGACUUCCCAGGGUUGCUAAUUCUUCAACUUCCCUUGGCCUCUUAACCCUCCUACACCUCUGAAAGGGGUCCCUUCAUGCACGUGUUUUCAUCUGAACCAUCUGAGUUGCUGCCUUUUCCUGCUGUUACCUCAACUGUUACAAUCUGUACAAAGCCUCACCUAAGAGAUGUCUGAGCUGUGCCAGGCUAAGGCAAGGAUUUCAAAGAAAAUCAGAGCUUCUUUCCUCUUUAGCUUUCAGAACACAUUAGCUAUUUGGCUCUAUGUAAAUUAAGUGGUACAAAAUGACAGCAAGCCCCCAUCUACCGAGAAAAGUUUUUAUUCUUUCAUUCAUCCACUCGGUCAUCAAAUAUUUGUUGAACACUUACUAUGUGCCAGGCACUGUUCUGCCCUGGGGCAAGAGUGAUAACGUACAAGGCAGACACAGUCCCUGCUCACAUGAUGCUGACAGUCCAACACCAACUGUCUCCCCAGAGCCAGAGGCCACACCGGUCGCAGGGCUAGACCCAGAUGGCCGAGUUCCUGAAGUCCUGAGCCUUCAGCAGGUUCUCAGAGGGAGGAAUCUAGGCUCCAAGUUAAAACCACCAAAGCAGACCAAAUUAACUAUCAAGCUUCUCCUUAAAUGGGGAAUAAUAACCCACCAGCUCACAGAAGCAUGGUGCUCUCAAGCUGGACUUGCGGGGGGGCGUGCUGGCACACACCCGUGGGGACAUGACCACCCACCUUCCCUGAC